UACGUAGGGUGCAAGCGUUAAUCGGAAUUACUGGGCGUAAAGCGUGCGCAGGCGGUUGUGCAAGUCAGAUGUGAAAUCCCCGGGCUCAACCUGGGAACUGCAUUUGUGACUGCACGGCUAGAGUGUGUCAGAGGGGGGUAGAAUUCCACGUGUAGCAGUGAAAUGCGUAGAUAUGUGGAGGAAUACCGAUGGCGAAGGCAGCCCCCUGGGAUAACACUGACGCUCAUGCACGAAAGCGUGGGGAGCAAACAGG
rnacentral:rRNA from 1 species